rnacentral:rRNA from 1 species
AACGAACGCUGGCGGCAGGCCUAACACAUGCAAGUCGAGCGGACCCUUCGGGGUUAGCGGCGGACGGGUGAGUAACGCGUGGGAAUAUGCCCUUCUCUACGGAAUAGUCCUGGGAAACUGGGGUUAAUCCCUUUUACGCCCUUUGGGGGAAAGAUUUAUCGGGGAAGGAUUAGCCCGCGUUGGAUUAGGUAGUUGGUGGGGUAAUGGCCUACCAAGCCGCCGAUCCAUAGCUGGUUUGAGAGGAUGAUCAGCCACACUGGGACUGAGACACGGCCCAGACUCCUACGGGAGGCAGCAGUGGGGAAUCUUAGACAAUGGGGGCAACCCUGAUCUAGUCAUGCCGCGUGAGUGAUGAAGGCCUUAGGGUUGUAAAGCUCUUUCAGCUGGGAAGAUAAUGACGGUACCAGCAGAAGAAGCCCCGGCUAACUCCGUG